AGUGUCAGGAUCUUGACAUGGUUGAGCAGUCCAGUCAAGAUGCCUCUUCCUUCCCUGCUCGAACGACCCUUGCUGAGCCACGUUCACCUUUUCGAACGCCCCAAGCCGUGUCACAUGCGGUCAUUAGGAUGGUGAUUUCUUGGAAGGAGAGGUCGUGCUUGAUGAACAAAAUCAAGGUUUUCCACACUCUAAGGAGGGAUCAUUUUUAGAGUGUAUGUCCUAUUCAAAGCGAAGGAAAAAACAGAGUUGGAAGUUGUUGAGCUUGGAAGGGGUAGCAAACACGGUUGUGGAGGAGUCUCAAUGUGAGUGACAAUGGAGGGAUAUUAAUGUGACUGAGGGACGCUCUAGGGUCCUCGAUCUUCAGCGUGCGUCCCCAAGCCUCUGAACAAAUGUAAGGUUAGAGUCUUUUAAUCUCAAACUUAACAAUUUAAUCUUUGAUAGUGCUAUAAGGAACGGUAAUAGGAAAUUUUGGCUUAAAAGUGAGAAUUUUGAGGCUAUUAGGUUAUGGAAUUUGGGUAAGGAGUUGGGAUUUACUUUUGAAGGGGAAGAAGAUAAUGUUAUUAAGAAGAUAGGGUUGUUGGAGGUAAGGGACACAAGUUUGUUUAUUAAUGAAGAUAAUUAGCAUUAAUAUAAGGGGUCUUAGAGGGAACGCAAAACAUAAAUACUUAAAGGACAUUAUUCGAAAUGAGUAGGUUGGAAUGAUAUGUAUUCAGGAAACUAAAAGCAAGAAUUUGGAGUUGGGAACACUUUCUUCACUUUGGGGGACUAAUGAAAUUGGGUGGGUGGAGAACGAAGCAAUCCAAAGCAUUAAGGGUAUAGCUACUAUGUGGAGGAGUAGUUGUUUUGAAAUGAUCAGUUUUAUAAAUGGAGCGAAUUAUAGUAUUAUUGAAGGUGUAUGGAAGGAGGGGACUAGGAGACUUGUUACAGUGGUAAAUGGGUUUAGUACCUUACGUGAAAAAUCAAAGGUUUAGCAAGAAAUAGUGGAUGUCAGGAUAAACCAACCUUCGAAACCAUGGUGUGUGUUGGGUGAUUUCAAUGCAAUUAGAGCGAGUGAGGAAAGAAAAGGUGUAGGUAAUCAAACAUCUUAUGGUUUUGAAAUCAUAAGGUUUAAUGAUUUUAUUCUGCAAGAUGGAUUAUUAGAUAUCCCUGUGAUUGGGAGGAAGUACACUUGGUAUGAACUGAAUGGUACAACGAAUAGCAGAAUAGACAGGAUCUUGGUAUCAAGAGAUUUGUUGGAUUGUUGGCCGGGUUCUAAACAAUAUGUUUUGGGAUGAACGAUGUCAGAUCAUUGUGCAUUGAUUUUAAAAAAAUGUGGAUAUUGAUUGAGGGCCGAAGCCCUUUCAAACUUUAGAUGUUUGGCAACAAGAUGUAAGGUUCAAGUUGUUAAUAAGGUCAAAAUGGAACAACUGAACUAUUGGGUCGUGGGAUGGUUGUCCUUAAAGAAAAGAUGAAAAGACUUAAAGCAGACAUAAAAGUUUGGAAUAAGGAGGUCUUUGGAAAUGUGAACCAUGAAGUAGAGGAGUUGAAUAAGAAACUACAGGCACUGGAUGAAAAGGAUGGCGCAAGUGGCUUAAGCGAUGAUGGAAGGGUAGAGAGGAAACUGUUGUUAGCAAAACUUAGUAGGAAUAGACUAAAAAUGGAGGCUACCGCUAAUAAAAAAGCUAAGUGUAAGUGGUUGAAGUAAGGGGAUAUGAACACUAAAUACUUUCAUGCAAUUACUAAAUGGAGACAUUGUAAAAAUGGUUUGAACGGACUAUUAGAUAAUGAUGUUUGGGUGGAGGAUCCAACGGUAGUAAAAAAUAAGAUAAGGCACUUCUACGAGUCUAGAUUUUUGGAGGGGAGAAUACCCAAGAAAAAUUAGACAAUAUUCCUUUUAAUUGUAUAUUGGAGGAGGAUAAUGUCUAUUUAACGAGGAUUUUUUCUGAAAGAGCAGAUCAAGGAAGCUGUUUGGGAUUGCGAUGGGUCAAAAAGCCCAGGACCAGAUAGGUAUAAUUUUCAGUUUUAAAAUUUAGCUAGGAAAUAUUGAAGAGUGAUGUUGUUAGGGAAAUCCAGGACUUUGAGAACACUGAACAUUGGUCGAAGGGAUUAAACGCGUCGUUCAUUGCGUUGAUUCCAAAAGUAAAUAACCCUUCAGAUUUAAAUGAGUUCAGACCCAUAUCUCUUGUUGGAUGUAUCUAUAAAAUUGUUUCCAAGUUGUUAUCAAGGAGGCUUAAAAAGGUUUUGUAGGGGGUAAUUGAUGUUAGACAAGCAACAUUUUUAAAAGGAAGAGGCUUAUGGAUAGUGUGUUGAUAGCGAAUAAGACCUUGGAGGAGGUAAAGAGGACGAAUUCUAUAUGCUUAUUCUUAAAGGUGUACUAUGAAAAGGCAUAUGACUCUAUAAAGUGAGAUUUUCUCUAUUACAUGCUAGGUAAGCUUGUUUUUUGGAGGAAAUGGGUUAGAUGGAUUAAAGCUUGCCUUAAGUCGGCGUCUGUGUCCAUCCUUGUGAACGAGAGUCCAACAAAGGAAUUCAAACCCGGGAAGAGUCUUAGAUAGGGUAAUCCACUUGCUCUUUUUCUAUUUUUAAUUGUGGCUGAGGGGCGUGUAGGUUUUGUUCGACAAGCAGUACAUAAGGAUUUGUUACAAAGUGUGGAGGUUGGGUCUAAAAGAAUUAAGGUUAACAUGUUACAUUUUGCGGAUGAUACUCUUUUCUUUUGUAAGGAUAAUCCCCAUAACAUUAAGGUUAUUAAAGCUAUCCUUUGCUACUUCGACUUGGCAUCAGAGCUUAAGGUUAACUUCUCAAAGAGCAGAUUUGGAGGGGUGGGUGUAAAUCAUUCCAAUUUGUGUGUGUACUCAUCUAUUCUUAACUGUGAAAUCACAAAAGUUCCUUUUAAGUAUUUGGCUUUGGAGGUGGGGGGCCAACCAUCAGAGAUUUAGUUUUUGGGAAAAUGUGGUAGUUAAGAUUCGAAAAAAGCUAGAUAGGUGGAAGGGAAAUUCUUAUCUAUGGCGGGUAGAGUUUGUAUGCUGAGGUCAGUCCUUUUAUCGAUUCCCCAUGCCUAUGUCUGUAAUUCUUACUAUUAAGAAAUUGCAAAUAAACUUUCUUUCGAGGUGGGGGAAGGAUGGAAAGAAAAUUGCUUGGGUGCCAUGAGAAAAGUAUGCGAAUCCAGAGAGGAAGGUGGGCUAGGAAUAAAAGAUAUAAGACUCUUUAAUGUUGCGCUGCUUGGAAAGUGGAUUUGGCACCUUCUGUCAGAGGAGGGUGGCUUGUGGAAAGAGAUUCUGGAUUCAAAGUACGGUGGAUGGAGAAACUUGAGAAGUGAGGAGAACAAUCCUAAGGAGUCUAACUGGUGGAAGGAUUUAAAAAAGUUUGGAGGUCGGAGGAAUGAGGGCUUAACAUUACGGAUAACGUCAUUUGGAGGCUUGGUGACAAGAAGCGAAUUAAGUUUUGGGAAGAUAAGUGGUUUGGUAGUGAGGCUUUAGGAGUAAAGUUUUCGAGGCUCCUAUCUAUUACCACCGACAACACUACCAAUGUGUCACAAAUGGGGCUUUGGAAUAACGAUGUAUGACAAUGGAAAGUGACUUGGAGGCGUGACCUGUUUGCAUGGGAGGAGGGAGAAGAAAACCAUCCUUUGUCAUUAUUGGGUAGCAAAGUUCCUUCAAUAGGAUGUGAGGACCGAUGGGUGUGGAAAGUGGAUGUAUGGUUAGACUACAUGGUAAGCUCGACUUAUAAUUGCCUAAGGAAGUUAGACGGGGGAGACUUUAGAUCAUUGUAUGAGGCUUUUUGGAGCAUUAAGGCAUUACCCUCUUCCAUGACAAUUGCCUGGAGAGUUUUGGGAGAUAGGCUACCAGCUUGUGUUAACUUGGCGAAAAGAAGGGUGGUUUUGAAAAACAUCUUGGGUGUUAUGUGUGGGGAGGUUGAGGAAUCCUUAAGUCAUAUUUUUUUCAAUUGUAAAGUAGCAUGGAGGGUUUUGUGUCCGUGUAGUAGGUGGUUAGGGGAGUGUAUGGUGUACCAUUGGGAUGCUAGAUAUCAUUUUUUGCAGUUUAAACUGGGUUAGGCAUCACAGAAGAUUAACAGAAUUUGGGGAUGUGUGUCGAUUGUUGUGGUUAGGGAAAUUUGAAAGCAAAUUAAUCUCAUCAUUUUUUAAGAAUGAUAGAAUGGAUAGUUAUGAAGUUUUUACUUUGGCUCAGCUCAAGGUGUGAUCCUGGAUCACAUGUAAAGAAAGGUUAGCCUCUUUUACUUAUGCCCAAUGGAGUAUGGAUCCAAAGACGUGUCUAUAGUCUAUUAGAAUGAAAGGUUGAGGUUGGGAUUUUCAGUGGGAUGGUUGCUUUUGUGUCUAAGGUAAUGUUUUAUUGCUUAUACUGGUUUCUAUUUUUUGUUGAAUGAGCUUGCAACAGAUACUACUAACCUUGGUUUGGUCUUAGGUUAGUAUGGAGGUUUGCUUAUAUUUGCAGGGCUAAAGUUGGUAUCUAGUUGAGUGCGGGUACAAAUGGGUUAGGAUUGAGUUAAGUGGGGUGAUGACAAUACUUUAUGCGAAGGCUACGAUGCUGUUUUGGGUAUAGAUGUGCAACAGACCACCUUGGGUGGGAGAAUGCCCUCUUAUUUCUUUUGCAUUAAGUGGGAAUAAAUGCAGGAAGGAGUUAUGUUCCUGUUGUAAGGGAUAGAGGAUCCAUUCUCUUUUGUCUUGGCACCAGUUGGAAUGUGUAGGGCGGGGUCUUUAUUUGGGUUAUUUUGGCUGGUUUGGGUUUGGGUUUCUUUUUAAGUAGUAAGGCUUGCAAGAAAAGAAAGUUGUAGUGUCUCCUAUAGAUGUCUUUAUCAUAUUAGUAUAAAACUGUUUGUUUCACUUGAUUAGUUUGAGGAGUUGUUUGUAUAAGGAUUUUAACAUUUUAAAGUGUUUCAUUUUAUUUAAUUUAUUUAUUAUAUAGAGCUUAAAAUGACAUAAUAUAAUGUAAUGCGCUAGUAGAAAUCAAUUGGGUAAAAUUAGACUACAAAAUUCUAAAAGUAGCGUAGUCUUUAUAUACUCUGCACCUUGCAAAGUUAACAAUCUCAAAGAAAAUAAAGAUAAACAAUUUGAUAGAGCUAUAAUAUGCAAUUUUAAACUAAGAAGUUCAAUAUAAAAGUUGAUAAUACUGAGACUCACGUCGUCAACAAGCCCUUCAUUCCUGAUUCAUAUCCUACAACUUCACCAAUUUUGCUUCAUAAACUUAAACUUUCCAUUAAAAAGAAGUAUAAAACAAUCUGAAGUAAAAUGAAUUAGAAUAAGCACAGACACAACAAUCAAAUUAAAUGCAUCACUUUAAACUUUACAAUUAUAACAUGCAUUCUAAUUCAACCAAAGAGUAAGAAAAGCAUCAGAUACUGUUUUCAGUCUCUUUCGCUUGGAAAAUGAGAAGCAUGGACUUGAGGCACCUCUCCUCCGAAGAAAACCCAAUUCUAGCACGCGAGAAGUGUUUUACACUAAUUUCAAAAUAAUUUAAUCGUUGUUAACUUAUAUUUUAUGACACAAAUUAAUUUAAAUAAUUUAAUUUUUUUAAUAUUUAAAAAAUAAAUAAAAAUAAAUAUAUAUUUUUAAAAAUAAUUAAUUUAAACUUGACAUUUUAUUAAUUUUAUUUUUUUAUAAAAAAAAUUAUUUCAAACAUCUUUGAAAUUUUAGUCUUUUUUUAUUUAUGUAUUUUUGUUAAAAAAAGUUAGUACACGUUAUACUAAUUUUAGUUUGUGCUUCAAUUUAAAUAUAAUUUUGAAAGUAUAAAAAAUUACGGAAAUGGAGAGGGAAUUUGCCAAUCUUUCUUUGUCCCUUCCAUACUCCACACUCUUAAACUUUUAGAAUGUUCAAAAUAUGAUCCCAGAUUUCGGAGUAUUCAUUACCCAUUUUUCUAGAGUUUAUAUAUAGUUAGGGUUGCCUUCCCUUUUAUUAAUUCAAUUUUAUAAACCAGUAACAAAACAUCGUAAUGAUGUAGGGGAAAAGUUUAUGGUUAAGUUUGCCUUUUUGGACAACAUGAUAUGUAAGAAUAACUAAAUAUCCACGAAUUAGAAUGAACUAAGGAAGGGAAGGGAAGGACCAUAUGCUCCUUCCACUAGCUGAUCCUAAAAAGUAGAACUGAUGAAUUUGUUCUAAAACAAAGGGGAAAAAAGGAAAUCUUCUAUGUGUCUGUAACUAGAGUAAGUAACUACCUUAAUGUUGUGUAGGGUAUACGUACGCACAUGCGAUUAUUAUUUUUUAUUUUCUGUGUCAUAGCAGAUAAAAGACAAAUACAUAAGGUUCACAAUGUUGGAAUAUGUUGAUUAUGAGGUGAAUUGGACCAUUAAUUUGGUCCACCUAAUAUAUAGGAUGCCAGCAACUGUGAAAAUCUAAUGGGUAAAGAUUAUUCUCUUCGGAAUCCGAGAGAAUUAUUUUGUUUAGGUGAAAAAAAUAAAGGAUCAAUUGCACACAAGUAUUGAACAAGAAAGUAAAGAAAUGCCUUUAUAAAUUUUGAGGAUAUAUAUUACUGCAACUCGCAGAAGAUAUCUUUAACUGAAUGAAAGUUUGAAGUCUAUAUAUAUAUAUAAGAGAGUGUAGGAGAAAAUUAAGAAGAGUAAAGAAAAAGAAAGUUUUGAAGGUAGAAAGGUAAAAAGAAAAAAGAAGUUGCAUGGGGCUGCGAAAGCAUGCUCAACAGGAGAAAUGGUGAGCAACGCAUGCUAGACAACAUACGGACCCACCAAAACUCUCCAAAAUCCAAUUCAUGCACCAUCCUAUCUAUGCUUUUCUAGUUUCAAAUAUGUGCUUCUUAAUGCUACUUUCCAUCUUCACUUCUUGACUUCAAUUUUAACUUUUCUCCCACAAUCAUUAUUUGACUUUCCUUUCUCUCCUUCCUUUAGGCUUCUCCAUUUAUCACUUUGCCCUCGAUACUUCAUUUUCUCUUUUUCAUCUUACCUAAAAUAUCUAAAUCUCUUAAAAUUAGCACAAAUCCAAUACUCCCUUAUCAUGUUUUAAUGUAUGUACUACCGGAUGGCCGAAAGAUCGACCAGACGAUAAAGCCAACUAGACGACAAGAUGCAAAGCUAAACACGUAAUUAGGUAUAAACAAACCAACUUAGGUGAUAAGCACGGUUAAGGCACAAUUGGGCCUUCGUUUGGACCCUAAAGCAGGCCCAUAACAGCCAUAACCCAUCUAAAGUAGUAUAAAUAGCAGAAGAGGCACAACACCCAAGGUAACUAUUCACUCCCUACUCCUCUAGUACUUAGCUCUUGGACUGACUUGAUCGUCGGAGUGUCUUCGCAGGUACCCCCCCCCCCCCCCCCCCAUCGUGUCCAGAUCAGAGAUUCAGCCGAAAGAAGCCUAACCGUGAGACCGGGAAGACGAGAAGAUUACAACAAGAGGAAGUGUUCUGCAGAGUUCUAGUCUUGCAGGAACAUUUUGGUGCCCACCGUGGGGCCGAAAGGAAACCCUGCGAAAUAUCCAAAUGGUAACUACGAGGAACUUGACGGGCAAUGACAGGAAUGCGCAAGAGGAAACCAGUCACCCAGAUCCUAUGGCACUAAUCUUGAAGAUACAGAAGGAGAUAGAGCUAUUAAAAAAGAAAAGCGAAGAAGAGAUUAGAGGAAUAAAACGAAGAGAAGAGGAGAUGGAAACUUUGAGGAAGGAGAAUGCCCGGAUGAAACAAAAGCUCGUUGAGAAGUCGGACAUCCCGGAAGCCGUGGGUGAUAUCCCCCUGGGUGAUAACGCGAAUAUGGAUGUACACGAGGUCGGAAGUUCAUAUCAAGAAAAUAUCAGACCGACCUCAACUAACGCGUUAGGCACGACUCCCCGAAGAAGCCCCUUUGCCGAAACCAUCCUUGAAGUUCCUUUGCCAGGAACUUGGAACAAUCCCACGUUGGAUAAAUAUGAUUGAACCACAGACCCAGACGAACAUGUGAACGCGUACCUAACCCAGGUUGGCUUGCACACAGCAGAAGACGCUAUGGUGCCGAAUAUUUUCCACCUCUCUUAAGGGGGCAACCUUAAGACGGUUCACUCGACUACCGGCUCAGUCCAUAGAUUGUUUUGACACACUUGCAACUAAGUUCGAAGCUCAAUUCACUACCAGCCGACCACACCACCUCACUUCGAUCGCCUUGGUGAACAUCCGACAAGAGAAGUCAGAGUCUUUGGGAGACUUUAUGGACAGAUUUAGCAAGAUGGCUUUGGACAUACGGAACCUAAGUCCCAAAGUGGCGAUGCACCAUAUGGUAACUGCGCUAAAGCCGGGACCAUUUUCAGAUAGUUUAUGCAUGCAGCCGGCCACGACAUUGGAUGAGUUGCGCCAAAGAGCCACCAAAUACAUGCAGCUGGAGGAAUUGAAAGAAUUCUAAAACAAGGCUCAGGCACCUGAUGAACCCAAGAGGAGGGGUGACAGGAGCAGACCAACACAAUUCGGGAAGCCUAAAGAUUUUCCCAAAGGACCGCGUUUCACCCGUUACACCCCCUUGAGAGUUGAAAGGUCGAGAGUCAUGGAAGAAGCCCUCAAUGCCGAGAGGGAGACCUAGUUUGGAGGAUGAAAGGAGAAGCUCGCAAAGUCCCAGCAGAAGGAAAGUUCAAUGCAAAUUGGGAAGGACCCUUCAAGGUCAAAGAAAAUCUUCAAAACGGCGCAUACCGCCUAGAACAGUUGAAUGGCCGGGAAGUUCCCAGGACGUGGAACGUCAGUCAUUUGAAAAUGUAUUUUAGCUAAUAUGUAUUAAGGGUGUACUCUUUCCUACCUUCAAUCUUUUUUCCCAAGGGUUUUUGAUUGAAGAAGGUUUUAACGAGGCACCACAUUUAAUGAAAUCAGACUUACCAGCUACGUAUGAAUUCCUUCGAAAGAAAACCUCUCGGCCAAGGAAGAAUUCACCCAAGUGAAUCCCUGCCGAGAGUACAAAAGAAAAACCUCUCGGCCAAGAGAGCCAAGAGAGCCAAGAGAGUUCGAAAGAAAACCUCUCUGCCAAGGAAGAAUUCACUCAAGUGAAUCCUUGCCGAGAGUACGAAAGAAAAACCUCUCGGCCAAGAGAUUUUGCAAGAAAACCUCUCGGCCAAGGAAGAAUUCACCAAAGUGAAUCCCUGCCGAGAGUACGAAAGAAAAACCUCUCGACCAAGAGAGUUCGAAAGAAAACCUCUCGACCAAGGAAGAAUUCACCCAAGUGAAUCCCUGCCGAGAGUACGAAAGAAAAACCUCUCGGCCAAGAGAGCAAAGAGAGUUCGAAAGAAAACCUCUUGGCCAAAGAUUACAUCUAGCAUACGUCUUUCACCACUACAUGUACACGCGCCUCGAGUACAAGUCACCACACUCGACAUCCAACAACAAAGCAAUCACGAACACACUCGGCAUGCGAACACUCAUGGAAAUUCGACUCUACGUUACGUUUAAACCAACUCACUCGAGCCUGGGGGCAUAUGUACUACCGGAUGGCCGAAAGGCCGACCAGACGACAAAGCCGACUAGACGACAAGAUGCAAAGCUAAACACGUAAUUAGGUAUAAACAAGCCAACUUAGGUGAUAAACAUGGUUAAGGCAUAAUUGGGCCUUCGUUUGGACCCUAAAGCAAGCCCAUAACAGUCAUAGCCCAUCUAGACCAGUAUAAAUAGUAUAAGAGACACAACACCCAAGGUAACUAUUCACUCCCUACUCCUCUGGUACUUAGCUCUCGGACUGACUUGAUCGUCGGAGUGUAUUUGCAGGUACCCCCUCCCCUCCCCCCCCCCCCCAUCGUGUCCAGAUCAGAGAUUACAACAAAAAGAAAGUGUUCUGCAGAGUUCUAGUCUUGCCAGAACAAUGUGUAAUUAGGUUUUACUUUUUAAUUACUAGGUUAAAUCGUGUCAGAUCUGACUGAAAAAUCAAAUAGGAUAUCCUUAAUCAACCUCUUGAAUUACUAGAAUCUGGUUGUACAAUAUUAUUAACUGAAGAUGAUUUUUGGCCUUUAAAUUCACAUAUUAAGUCCUACAUAAUGUGAUUUACAUGCUCUCAAUGGUGUGAAUAAUUACCGUUUAUAUGUUUUUUUCUGUUUUUUCUAUAUAUUCUUUCUGUUUUUUUCUUAUAAAUUGUCCCCCAAAAAUGAAGUUAUUAGUUUUUUCCUUUAUGAGAAUGAAAACGUGUGGUUUUCAGUGCUUCUCUUAGAAGAAAAUAAUAAAUGAUGAUCCGUCCUUGCAACACCCAGCCUAAUGACGGGUGAAGCAGCAAGGCAUUGAAUCUUUUGGCCAAAUUUAACUGGCUUAAAACACUUCAAAGAAAACUAGUAGAUUCAAUGAGUACAUUGGAAUAGGUAAACACUGAAACAAAAAACAAUUUAGAGAUUAUAUGUUAUAUGUUAUAUUAUUAUUAUUAUUAUUAUUAUUAUGUUAAUAUUAUUUUUAUUAUUAAAAUUGUUACUAUUAAUAUUAAUAUUCUAUUAUUUUUAUUAGAAUUAAUAUAAUAUAUAUAUAUAUACAAAGGGUAUUCUUCACUUUAACUGCUCUAAAUUAUUUUUCUAUUUUAUCCUUACUUAAUAUUUUGUUUUAUUAAUUUAUUUUGGUUAUUUGGACAUUUAGUAAUUUUAGAAGUUAAUUAAAUAUUUUUUUAAUUUUAAAAUUUUAUUUUAUUUGUUUUCACUUAAUUGACAAGAGAGUAGAGAGAUUGAUUACUUUUCUGUUUUAAACUGAUAUUAUUUUUUAUUAAAUAACCAGUUUAUUAUAGAAGAGUGGAGAGAGAUGGGUGAAAUGUGAGUUUAUGGACGGUUGCUUUUUUUUUUGCAAAAGAGUGACAUAUAAGAAAAUUGAGAGAGAAAGAAUAUAAAAACAUCUUAAAAAGUGUUGUCUGGUGCUAUUUGAUAUUUUUUCUACAAAACCCUAAGUGCGCUCUUUCUACAAAUUCACAAGUAAGUGCAAAUUCAACAAAUUCAGUUCUGAUGCGUUUUUUUGUUUUUUUUUCUGCAGAUGGUUGAACCCACCAAAAACCUCCGGUAAGAAACCUCAAAACAAACUAGAGUCAUCUGAUGGAAACCAAGGAUUGAAACACCACCACUACAUUGUUGUACGAAAAUGAUAUAUUGUUUGGGACACACUAGUACAAAAUAUUUCAUUAACGACACCCUUUAAAUACGGUUUGGAAACAACUAUCAUAAUAAGCGAGGCGGUGGCACUAUUUCUUUUUUGAAUUUUUUUGGCAUUUUUAAAGACGGUUCUCGCCCGAAAUGUCGUUAAAGGUGGGCGCGUGAGGAUACAACGACGGUUUGCAACAGAACCGUCGUUAAAAGUUGGGUUUCCACGACGAUUCUCAUUGAAUAGUCGUUAAAGGUGGUAUUUUUUUAUUUUUCAGCACAGCAUUUUGCCUCCCCUUCAUUUUCACACUCAUUUUCCCUCUUCUUUCACUCCUCACCCACAUCGUUCACAGGCCACCCUUCUCGCCAUUGUUCCACCUUCGUCGUGCGACCGCUCCGUCAAGCCUCGUGUCGCGUGCAACGUGCCCCAGCAUCGCUCGUCGCGCACCCCUGCGCCGUCAUGUCCCGCGCGCCUGCGCCAGCGCCGUCUGUGCCCAUGCCGCCCACGACCUCCUUGUUGCCCCGUUCGUUAACAAAGUUCCCGCUCGUACGCACGAG
rnacentral:lncRNA from 1 species